AACCCACCAAGGGAAGAGCUAACCCACCGCCUUGUACCGAGUCCUUGGAGUCGAAGUGGUAAAAUAAGCUUUAAGCGUAGGACAGGGAGCAACAGAGCCGAAACGUAAGUGACGUGAUUUAGCUGGGAAAUUAUUAUGAGAACGGAAAAGGCUGAGACGUUAAUACUUGUCGUAGGCAAUAUCGGGUAAAAUGUUAUGGUGAGAGUUACCUGGCAUCCUCCAGUCUGAGAA
rnacentral:ncRNA from 1 species